rnacentral:rRNA from 1 species
UACGUAGGGGGCAAGCGUUGUCCGGAUUUAUUGGGCGUAAAGAGCGUGUAGGCGGUUAGGUAGGUCCGUUGUGAAAACUCGAGGCUCAACCAUGGAAGUGCACCCGAAACUGCGUAGCUAGAGUCUCGGAGAGGAAGGCGGAAUGCUUGGUGUAGAGGUGAAAUUCGUAGAUAUCAAGCGGAACACCGGUGGCGAAGGCGGCCUUCUGGACGAUGACUGACGCUGAGACGCGAAAGCGUGGGGAGCAAACAGG